rnacentral:rRNA from 1 species
UGGGGAAUAUUGGACAAUGGGGGCAACCCUGAUCCAGCAAUGCCGCGUGAGUGAUGAAGGCCUUAGGGUCGUAAAGCUCUGUCGGAGGGAACGAAUGCUCCCAGGGUUAAUAUCCCUGGGAUGUGACGGUACCCUCCAAGGAAGCACCGGCUAACUCUGUGCCAGCAGCCGCGGUAAUACAGAGGGUGCAAGCGUUAAUCGGAAUUACUGGGCGUAAAGCGCGCGUAGGCGGUUUGUUAAGUCGGAUGUGAAAGCCCCGGGCUCAACCUGGGAACUGCACCCGAUACUGGCCGACUAGAGUACGAGAGAGGGAGGUAGAAUUCCACGUGUAGCGGUGAAAUGCGUAGAUAUGUGGAGGAAUACCGGUGGCGAAGGCGACCUCCUGGCUCGAUACUGACGCUGAGGUGCGAAAGCGUGGGGAGCAA